GAGUACGUGAAACCGUUUGCAGGUAAACAGAUGGACCCACGAAGUCCUGUUGAGUGAGGGAUUCAUAUACUUUGGAAGGCAACUUGUUGCUGCUUCUUCUUCUUGGAGGAGGUAGCAGCAAGUCAAGUCAACCAAAGGAUGCAUUUCUCUCGCUCACGUUGGAACUCUGACUGCUUAGCAUGUUCACUUAUGAGCUUGACUAGAUGAUGAGGACCUUCGGGCUCUAACUUAUCUAGUCAGGCGAACAAGUGAAUCGCUGAGUAGGUGAAUUACUUUCGAAUGAAAGUGUUCAGAUUGUGUUUAUGGUGAAGAGAUGAUAUGUCUUGGUUGUAUGUUAUUCUUGACUCGUGCUUGAAAACAUGCAACAUCUGGGCAUAUGCACAUCUCUUUUCAUCCAUAAUCUACACAUAAUCCAGAGUAAGUAGGUCGGUCAUCCAUCUGACCCGUCUUGAAACACGGACCAAGGAGCCCAACAUUUAUGCGAGUCGCACAGUCUUGUUCAGGCUCGUGAGGCGAAAUAAACAUAAUGUUGUGACUGUUUCUUCUCCAAGAAACAAGCAACAACAACCUGUUUCAUCUUCUCGUAAGUGAAACGGCGUUUGAGCAUAAAUGUUGGUACCCGAAAGAUGGUGAACUAUACUUGGGCAAGACGAAGCCAGAGGAAACUCUGGUGGAGGUCUGUAGCGAUUCUGACGUGCAAAUCGAUCGUCAGACCUGAGUAUA
rnacentral:rRNA from 1 species